rnacentral:rRNA from 1 species
GUGACUUAGUUCAACGGCCGCGGUACCCUAACCGUGCGAAGGUAGCAUAAUCACUUGUUCUUUAAAUAGGGACUUGUAUCAACGGCAUCACGAGGGUUAUACUGUCUCCUUUUUCUAAUCAAUGAAACUGAUCUCCCCGUGAAGAAGCGGGGAUAAACUUAUAAGACGAGAAGACCCCAUGGAGCUUUAAACCAAUUAUAUACCUCUUCAACUUAAAUCAUGCUAGUCUCAGAAUAAUAUAUAAUAGUUUUAGAUUGGGGGGAUCACGGAGUAAAACUAAACCUCCUUGACAAACGGACCUUGCCCUUAUUUAAGAAGUACCCUUCUAAAAAUCAACAAAUUGAUGUUUAAUGACCCAAAUUUUUGAUCAACGAACCAAGUUACCCUGGGGAUAACAGCGCAAUCUACUUCAAGAGCUCAUAUCGACAAGUGGGUUUACGACCUCGAUGUUGGAUCAGGAUAUCCUAGUGGUGCAGCCGCUACUGACGGUUCGUUUGUUCAACGAUUAAAAUCCUACG